GGGUUGUGAGGUUAAGCGACUAAGCGUACACGGUGGAUGCCCUGGCAGUCAGAGGCGAUGAAGGACGUGCUAAUCUGCGAUAAGCGUCGGUGAGGUGAUAUGAACCGUUAUAACCGGCGAUUUCCGAAUGGGGAAACCCAGUGUGUUUCGACACACUAUCAUUAACUGAAUCCAUAGGUUAAUGAGGCGAACCGGGGGAACUGAAACAUCUAAGUACCCCGAGGAAAAGAAAUCAACCGAGAUUCCCCCAGUAGCGGCGAGCGAACGGGGAGGAGCCCAGAGCCUGAAUCAGUGUGUGUGUUAGUGGAAGCGUCUGGAAAGGCGCGCGAUACAGGGUGACAGCCCCGUACACAAAAAUGCACAUAUUGUGAGCUCGAUGAGUAGGGCGGGACACGUGGUAUCCUGUCUGAAUAUGGGGGGACCAUCCUCCAAGGCUAAAUACUCCUGACUGACCGAUAGUGAACCAGUACCGUGAGGGAAAGGCGAAAAGAACCCCGGCGAGGGGAGUGAAAAAGAACCUGAAACCGUGUACGUACAAGCAGUGGGAGCCUCUUAAUGGGGUGACUGCGUACCUUUUGUAUAAUGGGUCAGCGACUUAUAUUCUGUAGCAAGGUUAACCGAAUAGGGGAGCCGAAGGGAAACCGAGUCUUAACUGGGCGUUAAGUUGCAGGGUAUAGACCCGAAACCCGGUGAUCUAGCCAUGGGCAGGUUGAAGGUUGGGUAACACUAACUGGAGGACCGAACCGACUAAUGUUGAAAAAUUAGCGGAUGACUUGUGGCUGGGGGUGAAAGGCCAAUCAAACCGGGAGAUAGCUGGUUCUCCCCGAAAGCUAUUUAGGUAGCGCCUCGUGAAUUCAUCUCCGGGGGUAGAGCACUGUUUCGGCAAGGGGGUCAUCCCGACUUACCAACCCGAUGCAAACUGCGAAUACCGGAGAAUGUUAUCACGGGAGACACACGGCGGGUGCUAACGUCCGUCGUGAAGAGGGAAACAACCCAGACCGCCAGCUAAGGUCCCAAAGUCAUGGUUAAGUGGGAAACGAUGUGGGAAGGCCCAGACAGCCAGGAUGUUGGCUUAGAAGCAGCCAUCAUUUAAAGAAAGCGUAAUAGCUCACUGGUCGAGUCGGCCUGCGCGGAAGAUGUAACGGGGCUAAACCAUGCACCGAAGCUGCGGCAGCGACGCUUAUGCGUUGUUGGGUAGGGGAGCGUUCUGUAAGCCUGUGAAGGUGUGCUGUGAGGCAUGCUGGAGGUAUCAGAAGUGCGAAUGCUGACAUAAGUAACGAUAAAGCGGGUGAAAAGCCCGCUCGCCGGAAGACCAAGGGUUCCUGUCCAACGUUAAUCGGGGCAGGGUGAGUCGACCCCUAAGGCGAGGCCGAAAGGCGUAGUCGAUGGGAAACAGGUUAAUAUUCCUGUACUUGGUGUUACUGCGAAGGGGGGACGGAGAAGGCUAUGUUGGCCGGGCGACGGUUGUCCCGGUUUAAGCGUGUAGGCUGGUUUUCCAGGCAAAUCCGGAAAACCAAGGCUGAGGCGUGAUGACGAGGCACUACGGUGCUGAAGCAACAAAUGCCCUGCUUCCAGGAAAAGCCUCUAAGCAUCAGGUAACAUCAAAUCGUACCCCAAACCGACACAGGUGGUCAGGUAGAGAAUACCAAGGCGCUUGAGAGAACUCGGGUGAAGGAACUAGGCAAAAUGGUGCCGUAACUUCGGGAGAAGGCACGCUGAUAUGUAGGUGAAGCGACUAGCUCGUGGAGCUGAAAUCAGUCGAAGAUACCAGCUGGCUGCAACUGUUUAUUAAAAACACAGCACUGUGCAAACACGAAAGUGGACGUAUACGGUGUGACGCCUGCCCGGUGCCGGAAG
rnacentral:rRNA from 1 species